UACGUGUAUAAUAAUUUUGUUUGCGCCCCCUUCAUAAAUCGUCAAAUCCUAAUUAAAACGAUUUAUGUUCUAACCAAACUGAGCCGAAGCAACGGACAAUGUUCUUUUUUCUGCGGCUGUGUUUCUUUAACUCCAGUGAACAAACAAGCUUGGCAAACCCUUGAAUUGUUAAUGUUGUUGGAACAGUCCAUAUUUUGGAUAUCAAAUACCAAUCAUGACAUAAUUGCUUUAUACGCCAGGAAAUGUGCGUCCGGAAUACACACCAAUCUAUGAAGGUCUUAAUGGCCAUGUCCUGUUGUUUGCUGUGUUGCUGUACAAACAAGUGGGCCAAUGUAAAGGAUAUUAUGGCGGCAAUAUCCAUAUUUUAUGAUUUAUUAAGCCAUUUCACGUUGUGGUUGGCAAACUGGCAUUUUGGCUGGUACUCCUUACGACUGCUCCGAAGACAGAUGAAAAAUGAAAAAUCUUUGGCUGGUUUGGUUUUGUGGGGUGGCACCUUCGCCUUAACCUCUGCGCGCUCCGUUUUCGUCCUUGCAGAUGCGAUGUAAACAUGGACUCAUUAAUCUCGGGCAAUAAAAGACAAAUAAGCACUGCCUCCAAGCACGGCAGCAAGCAGUGCGAAAGGGCAUUUAAUAAAUGGGCGGAAUGCCAAGUAUUUGCAAUGUCACAUAGAA